UCUUCUUCUUCUUCUUCUUCUUCUUCUUCUUCUUCUUGCUGCUGUUUCUUACUGUUACCGUUGUUUCUCUUGCUGCUGUGCUGUUAUUGUGACGUUUUGUGAUCCACACUUUAAUUUCAUUUAAACAGCUUCUCCUCAUUUCAAGCUUACUUCCCCUUCCUUUAUGUUUCCUCUUCUGUCUGUUCCUCCUGCCCCUCCUAAUUUUCCCAGUAAUCGUCUCCUGCCUUCCCUUUUCUUUGAUUUAUCUCAUCCCUCGUCCCCUUUUGUCCUCCAGUGUGCCCUCCUCUUUCUCCUCUGUAUGCUCCUUCCCAUCUCCCUGAUAAUUAUUCUAUUUUAUACCUGCCCCACUUCGUUUUUUAUUCUGUUACUCCGGUUGUAUUUUCCGUGUACCAUUUUGUGGUGGUUUUCCAUUUUUAUUCAAGAACUUUUCUGUUGUGUGUUUUUUUUUUUUUUUUUUGCGGCCGUUUUUCUUUUCAGUUGUCUUUUUUACCGCUCUUCUUGAAAUAUAUUUAGUUUUUUCGUCCUGAGUUUCAUUUUACAGUAUUGACUUUUUUCCCAGUCUUUCUGCGUCACACCACCUGUCCAGCUGAUUAUUAAUUUGUGUUUGUGUGUGUGUGUGUGUGUGUGUGUGUGUGUGUGUGUGUGCUUAUGAAGAGAAGGAAAUGUUGCUUGGUUCUGUUUCCUCGCAUGUGCAUGUUUUGGCCAAAUACCACAACCAUCAAUCUUGACUAUCCCUGUCACUUUCUUACCCCCUCAAUCCAAUUCUCAUCUGCAACUGCCGUCACCCCCCCACACCAUCAACUUUCCUUUUCCACUCACUUCUCAGCUUACCUCGCUCGUCUUCUUCGUUCUGGGGUCGCUCUCCUCUUAUUGCCCUGAGACUAGGCCAGGGCAAGACAUAUAGCCUCUCAUUAACCAAGCUCCCACAAAUUAGAAUGAAGAAUAGAUUAUAAUUAUUGUGUGUAUGUCCUGACGUGUGUGUGUGUGUGUGUGUGUGUGUGUGUAUGUAGCAGAUGAGAGAUGACACAAUAUACGUAGUAACCAUUCAUACAUCGCUUCCCUAUCCCUCCCUCAGUAAGCCUCACUUCGUCUCUAAAUGGAACACUGGCGGCUGCAGCUCGAGAGGUCUUGCUAGAACCGUAUCGGAGAGGUUGGCUUAUGAGGAGGGUGGCGAGCACGAGGAGCUUCAGGUUUGGGACAAGAGCAGGAGGAGAGAUGCGAGCUAAGGGAGAGGAAGAGGGCGAGGACGAGGAGGUGAUAAAGGUCGAAGAUAGCAAAGGACGAGAGGUUGGCGUUACAUUGGACGUGUAAUGGACGCCAGAGAGAUGAGGGUUGCAGCAUCACUAAGACGCCGAGAGGCUCCCCGGGGGUUGUUGUUGACACUUGCUUGUCGCCAUUGGUGCACCAUCCGUUCAGGUGUCGGUACGCUCUCGGGGACGUGGCAAUGAAAAAUGAGGAAAGGCCUUGGGGAUAAUGAUGGCGGUGGGCAGAAUGGAACACAAUGGCAUUAUUGAUGGUGCGGAGAAGAGAAAUCGUAAUGCAAGAUCGCUCGUUCAAUUAUCCACCAGCAGAUAUAUCACGUGAGAGGAGAAUUCAGUCCCCUCCUGCACUUCCAUCACGAUCAAUCCCUCCCUGUAGCUUGUUAGUCCACCUUAGCACACCUCGCCAUCACCUCCUACUCAAAGCCUAACACUUUUCUUUAAAAUCCUUUCCUCUGUAACACUACGUAAAGUUCAGUUUUUCCUUUCUACUCUCUUAUCUGCAAGUUUUUACCAUCUUUUUCCCUUUUAAACGUCAUUUCCUUGAAGUGCCACUCCUCAACUCAUUUCCUUGCUUAUACAUUUGUUUUCUUAAUUCUGGCUUCUGUUAUGCUCUGUGUGUGUGUGUGUGUGUGUGUGUG